rfam:Pteropus alecto contig166322, whole genome shotgun sequence.
UCUAUAUCAUAAAGAAACAGCUUUCAAAUGUCUUUAUGUAGUUUUUCAGUAGCACAACACAGAUU